rnacentral:lncRNA from 1 species
GAAUUCAUAAAUUUGGUUGUGAAUUUAAGAACAUUAAAAAAUAAUUAUACAGCUCAAUCAAAUUGCUGUACAACACUAAAAUACAACAACUCAAUCUACCAUCAAAAUACAUCAAUUCCUCUAAAUCAACAAUCAAAAUACAACAAAAAUAUUAUUCGAAUCAAUUCAAUCUACAAUUAAAAUACAACAAUUCAUUCGAAUCAACAAUCUCAACAUUCAAUCUCCGAAUCAACAAUCUCAACAGAUCUUAGAACGAAAANCCACUUUCAUAUUGUAAAAUUAAAUAUUGUCCACUAAGAUAAAAAUAUUAAAAAAUGGCCACUGUUACCAAAAUACCCUUCCACAUUAAAAAUUAAAAAAAUGGCCACUUUACAUCACCCCUUUAAAAAAUCCCGCAAUUCACAACCAGUGUGAAUUCACAACCAAAAUUUUUUGGUUGUGAAUUUACACUGGUUGUGAAUUCUCAAUUCACAACCACUCGAAUUCACAACCUGAAUUUUUUGUUUGUGAAUUCACAACUAGUCGAAUUCACAGCCAAAAUUUAAUUCACAAUCAGUCGAAUUCACAACCUAAAAUUUAAUUCACAACUAGAAUUUUUUGGUUGUGAAUUCACAACAAACGAAUUCACAACCAGAUUUAUGUUGGUUGUGAAUUCACAAUAAAUCGAAUUCACAACCUGGAUUUAAUUCACAACUAGAAUUUAUUUUGGUUAUGAAUUCAAGUAGUUGUGAAUUUGAGUUUUUAAAGUUUGAAUUCACGACUAAAACUAGAAUUUAUUUUGAUUGUGAAUUCGAAUUUUAGUUGUGAAUUAAUAGAUCUGAUUGUGAAUUCAAGAAUAUUAAGUUGUGAAUUCAUAGAUGUGGUCGUGAAUUCAAAAACAUUAAGCUGCUUUGAAUUCAUAAAUUUGGUUGUGAAUUUAAGAACAUUAAAAAAAUAAUUAUACAGCUCAAUCAAAUUGCUGUACAACACUAAAAUACAACAACUCAAUCUACCAUCAAAAUACAUCAAUUCCUCUAAAUACAACAAUACAAAAUAACAACAAAAAUAUUAUUCGAAUCAAUUCAAUCUACAUUAAAUACAACAAUUCAUUCAAAUCAACAAUCACAACAUUCAAUCUCCGAAUCAACAAUCUCAACAGAUCUUAGAACGAAAAUCAUUCACAGACGUAUCAGAUCUAAACUUUUUUUCAAGGAAUUAAAAUAAAAAUCUCAAAAAUUACUUAGAUAUGGAACUAGGUUUUUUUUGCCUGGGAAAACGCGCCGCCUCUGAGCGCGCUGCAAUGCGCCUUUCCUCUCGCCGCCCAGACCACUUCCCGGCGGCCUCUGCCAGACGCCAAACACCGUCCUCAGCAACACCGCCUCCACCCUACCUGACGUCGGAGAUGGCGGAGGCAACGAGGCCGGGGCAGAGAUGACGAGGCCUGGGCGGCGGCGCUUCGCGGCGGGGGGUGAAGAAGAAGAUGGCAGAGGCGACGAGGCCGGGGGCGGCGGCGCUUCGCGGCAGGGGGCGAAGCAGGAGAUGGUGGAGGCGACGAGGCCGAGGCGGCGGCGCUUCGGAUUUCAAGCCCCAAGCCGCCUGGAACCCUAGAUCUGCAACAUCCCCCCACAACCACUGCCGGAUUUGAACCAGCAACCUAAGGAUUAAGGCGGCGGUGGAGAUAGACGGCAAUCGACGGCGAUUUCGCAGGAGAAGCUGCGUGGUGGAGGGCGGCGUGACCCGGUGACGGACCAGCUUAGAUCUGAACUGGAGAUCGAGCAUGAGAAAGAGAGAGAUUGGUAAGAGAGGCCAUUUUUUCCGGCGAUGGACUGCUCGGCCUCAAGCGACCCAGAAUCGCGGUGGUGGCAGCCUUGUAACCGCUGCUCGCCGAGAAUCAGAGGGUGGCGACGGGGCGGCAGAGAGCUGAGAGAGAAGAGAGUGAAGAGAGAGAUGAAAGAGAGAGAGAGAGAGAGAGAGAAUUCGCAUAUUUAGAGAGAGAGAGAGGGAG